rnacentral:snoRNA from 1 species
GCCCAGCUCUUGGUACUAGGUGUUUGGCGGCAGUGCCAGAGCAAGAGCUUGUGCAUAACUGGGACUGCCAAGUCUUUUAGGGGAGCCCUUUUAGUGAGGAACAUGG